rnacentral:misc_RNA from 1 species
AACGCACAUUGCGCCUCCCUGAGAGGGGAGGCAUGCCUGUCUGAGCGUCGUUUUAAUCCAAAUGCAGGCCUCCUGCGUCUUGGGCCAACCCUGUCGUCGACCCGCUCGACGUGGCCUCGAAUCGAUGGGUCUCGUGUAGAACGGACGAGCUCCUGUGGGACGAUGGACCGUUCGAGGGGACCGGAGGAAAAAGGCCCUCCAGGCCUCUGAAUUCGACCUCAGAUCAGGUAGGACCACCGCCUGAACUUAA